AUUGAACGCUGGCGGCAUGCUUUACACAUGCAAGUCGAACGGUAACAGGUCUUUCGGGAUGCUGACGAGUGGCGAACGGGUGAGUAAUGUAUCGGAACGUGCCCAGGUAGUGGGGGAUAACUACUCGAAAGAGUGGCUAAUACCGCAUGAGAUCUCUGGAUGAAAGCGGGGGACCUAAGGCCUCGCGCUACUGGAGCGGCCGAUAUCAGAUUAGGUUGUUGGUGAGGUAAAGGCUCACCAAGCCGACGAUCUGGUAGCUGGUCUGAGAGGACGACCAGCCACACUGGGACUGAGACACGGGCCCAGACUCCUACGGGAGGCAGCAGUGGGGAAUUUUGGACAAUGGGCGCAAGCCUGAUCCAGCAAUGCCGCGUG
rnacentral:rRNA from 1 species